UCCUCAGACUCUAAGCUGUUAACUAUCUCCGUGUCAGAUUCAUCAGUGUGUGUAGACUGUGUUGGAAGGUGGAAGGGGUAGCCUCCUGGAUCACUCUUGCCAUCUUUAUUAUACAAAACAUGGGAAACAGCCUGGAAAGCCAUUUCUGUGAAGGCAUUUGAACAUGAAGAUGGGAAGAAGAGAACCGUCUCUACUUUUUGAGAUGGAACUUGAAAAGCAAGUCUUACUAUUUGCAAAGUUGUGUGAUGGAGGUCAUUCACAAGGAUGGCAUGGGGGAGUUUAAAUCUCUUGGAAUUUGAUUACACAGCACAUUCCAGCUAUCUGCCCCAGCAGGCCCCUCUAUCAGGACUUGCUGAUUACUACUUAUGCAUUGUUUCAAAGUGAGCCCUUGAAGGCUUUCAUUUAAUACAGAUUAGUACCUUUAUUAAACAGUGGUUAAUUGAA